ACUGAGAAACAAAAUCAUUUCACUGAAAACAGAACACUAAGCAUCUCAGUUCAUCUUUCUGUUCAGUUAGAAGUCAGAAUCUACAUGCGCAACUCUGAAGGCAACAGGCUUCCUCCUGGCUAGGGAGCCCCUACAAGGGGGCCAGGUGCUCCUGAAGGCCUCCCAACCAUGAGCCUCAGUGUCACACACGCAGGCUUCCAGGCUUUGCCCCAAUGUCAAGUGAAGGGGCAGCUGAGCACCUGGCUCUCUGCAUGGGAAGUGCAGGAGCCCUGCACUAAGAGGGCCAUGCACCAUGAUGGCCUGUCCCUGGACUCGCCAUAUUGCAGGCUUUAUGACCACCUGGCCGUGCUCUGAACUUUCUAGCUGGGGAAACAGGGUCACGAGCUCUGAAGAGCACAGGGGCCAUUGCGGAGCUCCACACUUACCAUCGUCAGCCCCGCUGUGCGGGUCCACGUCUUCCUUCAUCUCCUCUUUCAUUUCCUCUUCAAUGAUCACUUUUCCUGUGGAGGAGACGGCUGACGUUCACUGGAAACCCACGGUGAUGGCCAGCACUGGGGACGGUCAGGGCUGACCGCGUCCAAGUCUCACCUUCUCGGACCUCUUGAAUGAUCUCUUCAGGAAGGACGAAGUUCCUCUCUGGAUUUGGGAAGGGAAGAAUCUCAGACUCAUGCUAAGGAAGAACAGACCAUUUUGUGUUUUCAAGAAACAAAGAAAAUGUGAUGUGAGCAGGUCACUAAAGAUACACAGAGGCAGCUAGUGAGGAACGGGUGAGCGCUGUGACCUCUGGAGGCUGCGAGUGGGUGGCACUCAGGGUGAAGCCUUUCCCUUCCUUCCACCUGCAGGGUCCACUGUGGCUCGGCUUUCCAGAUGGACAGGGAGGGCUCAGCCAGGCAGACCCUGCAAGGAGCCUCGGGCCAGUACCACUGAGAGCCCUAAGGAAGCUGCAGUGCGGCUCACCACUGUGGCCUUUUCCCCACACUGUCCAAGGGAAGCAGGUCCAGGGAACAGUGACAGUGAGGGAAGCUCCCAGGUGCCUCCUGUUCCUGCCUGCAUGGCAGGUGCCACAGACCCUGAGGGCAUCAGCAGGGCAGGCCACAUGCACCGAGUGCUGGCAAGGUGAAUGCGGCAAGGUAAGAAGGCCUGACUGGGCUUCCUCAGGUCACACAGAUCAGAGGGAACAGGACCCCUGCACCACAGGAAGCAGGAGGGGCACGAUGGGCCCCUGAAUGGGGAUUGGGAGCCAGGCGCUUCUAUCAGCAGCCCGGGUAUAAGGUGAGGCCAGGCAGCUUGGCCUAAGUGUUUCUGUCAAGGGGCUCAGUGCCAGGGGAGGGGACGACCGGGUCUUGCAGGCCACUGUGUCCUCUGAGCCAGCACCUGUGCCUGUGCUCUGGUGCUCUCUGUGUUUCCCAAAGACAGGCACAGUGCUACACUGAUCCCUCUGGAUCCUGGUGCAGAAGUAUGUGGACACCAGUGCCCCAAAUAACAGGCUGCUAGCUCUGGGAAGCCAAGAGUGGGCCCCUGACCCUGCAGGUGGUGCCCAGGAAGCAGCACCAGACUAACGCACUGGAUGUAUGGGCAGGAACAAGCAGACUACAGGAUGCAGAAUUCAGCAGUUUGCUACAUCUGGGUUCCCAGGUGCUGGUCACCCAGCACAGACUCCGUAAGACUGUCCUCCACAUGGGCUGCAGGCACCAACUCUAGCUGCAAUCCUAAGGGCAUUCCUAUGGCCAGGCUGUGGUCUGCCCUGUCCUCUUCCUACAGCUCUGAGAGGAAUGUGCAGGAUUCACCAGAGCCAAGCAGAUUCUGUGCUCAGCCUCAGUGGCACAGCACACACCCAAGUCCACCCGGGAGGAUCAGUGUGGCUUCAUAUCCAGGCAGGAAGCAAAGACUCUGCCGCCACCAGCACCCACUCUGGGUACCCUACUCCCAGCCCCAGCUCACUCCAGGAACACUCCCUUUGACUUCCUCCCAACCUUGGCUGCCACAGCACUCUGACAUUUGCCCUUUCCCUGCCAGGAACAUCCGCCCAUUUCUCCUGCCUCCUCCAUUACCUAGUGACCUGCUCAGCGCCCCACCACCCCAGUUAUCUGGUUUCCCUGCUGGCUCUGAGCUCUGUGAGGACAGGGCCUCUAUCUGCCUCGCUCUCACAGAAGCUGCUUUACUUUCAGGAGACUCAGGACUGGAGGAGUCCAGCUCACCAGUGCCUGCAUGUCAUACAUGGUGCUCAGAUGGUCCCAGAUGACCUUGGAUGGAACCUGCCGCCCGAUGUUCUGGCUGAACUUGUCCCGGAUACAGAUCAUGUGGAAGUGCCGGUUCACACCUGUGGGAGGAGGGGCAGGGCAGCAUGUACAAGGGUGGGGGGCAGAGAACUGUGCUCACCCCGGGAACGGAGGGGUGAGGCAAGUCUGGAGGAAACAAGAGGCUCGGAUGGGGAGAAAGAGGACGCUGGUGUUGGGGUAGCAACAGGGGGGGUAGGCCUCUAGGACAGGCCAAGUGAGACAGGGCAGGCGUCAGUGCGGGUGUGGGGGGGCGAACGGUGAAGGGGCCGGGCAGUGGCAGGGAACAGGGAGCAGGGUGUCGGAGAUGGAGGUGGUCUCUAGGCGCAGGGCUACUGCAGGGAGCGAGGGUAUCCCGGGUCGGGCAAGGCGGGAUGUCCUCAGGGCGAGCGUGCCCUGACGUGGAGGGUCACAGGCUGGAACCCGUAAGGACCGCGAGCGCGGGGAGCCGGGCGCCGGCUGCAGGCCCCGCCCGCCCCGACGGUUGCGGCCGCCCCGCCCCCACGCGGGUCCGCGGCCGGCGCUCACCGACGGGCUUGUGGCCCAGCAUGGCGUGGAAGAGGCACACCUCCACCUCGGGGCUCCACACCACCGUCUCCUCCGCCGGGCUCGUGGCCGCUUCUCCCGGCCCCUUGUCGCCCGGGGCGCCCCCGCCGCCCACCUCGGCCUCCCCCAUGGUCGCCGGCGAGCGACGAGCGCCCAGCGCGAGCAGGCGCGGCCACAGGCUCCGCGCAGGCGCACUCGCAGGCGAGCGGGCGCGCGCUCAGCAGCGCUCGCGCGCGGGCUCACUCUCCGCGUUGGCGCAGACGCAACGAAGGCCUCGCUUCCGGGGUGCGCCCCCUGGCGGCCCGGCCCCUCUGUGGGACAGGUCCCUGCUCCGCGGAGCGAGGGGGAACCGGAGGCGCUGACCCGCAGGGAUUUAGAAGCAUUAAAGCCCAAUAAUAAUAAUAAAAAAACCUGCAUCAAAACAA